rnacentral:rRNA from 1 species
UACGGGGGGGGCAAGCGUUGUUCGGAAUUACUGGGCGUAAAGGGCUCGUAGGCGGCCAACUAAGUCAGACGUGAAAUCCCUCGGCUUAACCGGGGAACUGCAUCUGAUACUGGAUGGCUUGAGAUUGGGAGAGGGAUGCGGAAUUCCAGGUGUAGCGGUGAAAUGCGCAGAUAUCAGGAGGAACACCGGUGGCGAAGGCGGGUCUCUGGGCCGAUACUGACGCUGAGGAGCGAAAGCGUGGGGAGCAAACAGG